AGCGAACGCUGGCGGCGUGCUUAACACAUGCAAGUCGAACGGAUCCGGGGGGCAACCCUCGGAUUAGUGGCGAACGGGUGAGUAACACGUGGGUAAUCUCCCCUCGAGUGAGGAAUAAGCUUGCGAAAGCGGGUCUAAUACCGCAUAACGUCCCGAGGCUUAUGCUUUGGGACCAAAGCCGUAAGGCGCUUGGGGAUGAGCCUGCGUCCUAUUAGCUAGUUGGCAGGGUAACGGCCUACCAAGGCUACGAUGUUUAGGGGUCCUGAGAGGGUGAUCCCCCACACUGGUACUGAGACACGGACCAGACUCCUACGGGUGGCAG
rnacentral:rRNA from 1 species